rfam:Stegodyphus mimosarum contig24812, whole genome shotgun sequence.
AUUGCCGAUGAUGAUAUUUCACAUUUACAUAUUGUUAAUGAUGAAUUUUUAACAUGCACUACCAACUGAGGCAAA